CCUACCCCUAGAGGUGUUGCAGCUGUGGCUGCUGUGUCACAGGUGUGGCAGUAGGUGGCAAAGGAGAGAUGCUAUGUCUAUGCUCAGUGUUCUGACCUAUGAACACCUGAAUGAUUAGUAGCCUGAAAUU